UACGUAGGGGGCAAGCGUUAUCCGGAUUCACUGGGUGUAAAGGGAGCGUAGACGGCGACGCAAGUCUGGAGUGAAAGCCCGGGGCCCAACCCCGGGACUGCUCUGGAAACUGCGUCGCUGGAGUACGGGAGGGGCAGGCGGAAUUCCUGGUGUAGCGGUGAAAUGCGUAGAUAUCGGGAGGAACACCGGCGGCGAAGGCGGCCUGCUGGACCGUGACUGACGUUGAGGCUCGAGAGCGUGGGGAGCAAACAGG
rnacentral:rRNA from 1 species